rnacentral:sRNA from 1 species
UUUGGAUUAAAAAAAAA